UGUUUCACGUUAGAGCUGUUGUAUAAGGCUUAUCCCAAAGCUGAGCUCACCCAGUUUGCUCAGCGCCUGUUCCUGGUGUACCUGGAGCCCCCGGGACAUUCCCACAGUGCCUCACAGAGCUGGGAAUGCCACAAACACCGGGAAUAACAAAGCACAGGAGCACAGGCAGUGAGGAACAGGCAGCAGAUCCCUCCUGGCCACCCCAAUUUCCAUUUCAUUCCAAUGGGCAGCAGCAGAAGCGAGGCAGGCCCGGCCUGGGCCCGACUGCGCCACUCCCGCUGGGCAGGCCGGGGCCUCACUGCCCUCUUGCCCUGAUUGCAAAUAAAUCCCCUUUUAACAGACUGACGGAUCUGCUUUCGCUCUUGGUUUUUAAUCAUCCUUUUAAUCUCCCUGAGGACCUCGGGGCCUCUUUGGUGCGGGGCCGGGGGUGGGGAUGAGGAGGCUGCAAAAGCCACGGCUAAGGACACAGAGGAGACGCAGGCCCUGCAAGCCCGGGGUCUGCAGAGGAGCAGAGAUUCACAUCUGGAUCAAGAACUGAGCCCUGGACACAAACACAUCCACUUCCCAUUGCAUUUCCACUAUGGAACUCCAAGAACACACUCGCUGGGCCAGCCCUGGGAACAGCAGCACCCACAGCGAGUGAUGCCUUUGGCAGGGAAGGUUCCAAAAGACAGGAUCAGAUCCACACAUCCCUCCUGCUGGGUGUCCAUGGGGAACCUCUGAGGUUCUCCAAGCAGGAGAGAGGCCAGGGCUGAUACCAAGCUGCAAAACCAGGAGCUGGAAGGGAGAGACCUCACGGGAUGAAAAGCUUGUCCCCAUGCUGUCCCUGGCAGUGGCACAUAGCCACACACAGCCCUGCAGCCAGCUGCUGCACAGGGAAUGGUACAGGGGCUGCCCAGGCAAGAAAAUGUCCCUAAAACUUCCCAAAUUCACCAGCAAAACCCAUAUGAGGAGUUCCACGUGGGCUGUGAUUCCCAGCGCCAUCCGCGAUCCGACAGCGAGCUCUCCUCAGUGUUCCCACAGUGUUAAUUUUGCAGGACUACACGGAGUCAGGAAAAUAUUUCCUGUGAUGCUGUCAGAUCCUCUCUACUUGGUGUUUCUGAGAAUAAAAUCCUGUUUGCCCUUAA